CUUUGUGGGGGACAGCUGGUUUCCUCAUUCCCUUUUCGCUUAUACUGUCCCUCCUACUUCUUCCCCAAACACUUUUCGAUCUAUUGUCAGACUCAUGUCCCUUCUACUUCUCUCUGCUAAAUUGAUGCAUUCCCUUUGUUCCAAAUUGGUCAGCCAUCUUUAGGUUUUUGUUUUCUUUUCUUAUCGGUCCUUUUUCUUUCUGAAAAUUUUAUGGAUCUUCUGUAUUGAGAUGGUUUGAACGAAAGUCUGCCUUUUUGUGUGUCGAUAACAUAGUUUAAAGGUAUUUCCAUAUUGUUAUGAAAAAGAUUUAUAUCCGUUGUUUGCAUGUCAUUUUUCAUGUCGUCUCAUCAUGUUUUUUGAACUUUGUACUCAGCACUAUGAAAUGACUAUUUGAAAGUUACUGUAUGUGAGUUUCUUGCCAUUUUUUGCUCAUAGUUUGUUUGAUGUUAUUGUUGGAAGUUGUAUGCCCAAAACUUAUGUUGUUAUUUUCAGUGUGAAACCUUGACUGCUAGCAUUGCAGGGGAAAUAUUGCUCAGAAGUCAGAAUAGUUGCUCAGCUCUUCUGCAGCUUACAGUAGUUUAGAUUUGUAUGUCGACUAUGAAUCUUCAGUUUAUUCUUACAUUAAUUUCUAUUCAUAAUUUUUUUUGCGUGUGUGUUUGUUUGUGUAGUAUUUCUUUGUUUGCUCUCUUCUUUUUAUUCAAUUAAAUGAACAUGCACUGUUUCUAGGAAUUUUGCUUCAAUAAGGAAAAUCCGGACCCUUUUUUCUAGAUCAUAUAAGAUUGGAAGUAUUGCUUUGUUUAUAGGUGUGUCCUACCUGAUUUCUUUGUUUAUCUGAUCACUAGGUUCAAUGUAUCAAUAAUGGUUAAGAUAAUGAAUAUGUCAAUCUAUAGAAGGAAAAAUAUUAUAUGCUCAUUCUAGAUAUUUAAAGGCAAUAUUGUAGCAGAAAAUGUAUACUUCUUCUUGGUUUUGCCAAAAUAAUUUCUCUCGUGUAAUAGAAAAAAAAACAAUUUUCAUCUAGCUUUUGGGGGAAGGGGGAGAAAUCAGACAAUAAUUUGCCCUUCUCCUUUUUUUUUUUGGGUAAAUUUCCGUUGUCCUAUCCAAUAUACUGUAGUUUUGACUACCCAUACUGGAAGACUUAGAACAAAAAUUGUGUUGUAUGUUUCAUUGUUAACUUGUUUUUUCAAGACUUAUUGAUUGACAUUGUUAGUUAAAUCUGAACUAUUUUAAUGUCUUAAAUAUAAGGAAUUUUAGGGAAAAGAUUAGCUAAUAAACUCUAUUCUCUCUUACUAACUGGCGACUUUGAAGAGCAUUACAAACAAGUUCUCGGUGAUAUUCUUCCAGCUUUUUGUGCUGUUGCUCGAUUCGAUUCUUCAAGAUUUAGUCUAACUUCAUAGUGUUGGUUGGAUUUUUCAAGGUACUGCAUUAUUUCUAUUGGUGUAAUCACAAUCUGGUGGGUAUUUUCGAGUUCCUAUUCUUUUGGAUACAAUGAUGUCAGUAGAUCGUCAUUGUAAACCAUAAUCUUUGUUGUCUUUGCUCUAUGUUUCUAUCCUGUUGUUCCAUCAUAACUCGCUGGGCAUGUAAAACUUUGAUUCUAAAGCAUAUGUCGUUUUAAUAAAACAUGUUGUUUUACCUAACAAAAUGUUGUUAUUGUUUCCUCCUAUUUCGAUCUCUUCUUCUUGCAUAUUUAUUGAUAUAAUUUUUCCCCGUUUGGUUAUCCGGUUCUGGACAUGCAUAUUUUGAUAUGGUUCUUAUUUUGCAUGUAUCCCGAGAUUAGUGAGAUAUGUGGAUAAAAAAUGUUGUGUGUUGGUAUUGUCCUGUACUCGGAUCGGCUUAUUUUUUCUUCAAUUUCCUUAAAGACCUAAUCCCAUUUCUUCCCCUUCAUUAAUUUUUAUUUCAAGGUGCAUUUUGAAGAUUUUUCUAGAUUUUCCUUAAUUCUUUUUGGAUUAUUUUGAGUUCUUACCGAUUCCUAAUGGGCAUAUUGAAGUGUAUGUUCUAUUUUGAAUAGUUGGUGUCAAAUUUCAUAACAACCGGUACUAUGAUGUUGCUUUAACUUUUGUUAUGGACCAGUUAUUGUCUGAUAUAAUUCCCCCCCCCUUCUCUCCACCCCCCCCUCUUCUGUUAACUGAUUUUGUACAUGCACAUGCUCAUUUCUUACUAUAUUGUGUCGAUUACAUUUUCGAGAUAGACUUAUUCCUUAUUUAUUUUGUGUAAUCUUGGAUGUCAUAUUCUCUGAUUUAUUGGUAAUUUCUUAUCAUUGUGAUGAUUUUUGCUCAUAGUAUGAGCCUAAAGCUUCUUGUUAUGUCGGUUCACAAAGUAUAUUAAUCAAUAUUGAUUUGAGUUACUAGACUUAUCUUUUGAAUUAUGUGUGAGCUGAUGAUAUUUGCCAUUUGCAGGGUAAUAAAACAAAAGCUUUUUGGUCUUCUUUCUCUUUUGUAUGGAUAUUAAAAUUUGCUAAAAAGUGUUGAAUGCCAAAUUUUUUGACUCUACAGUUAUAUCUAACUUCAUGUUAGCUUAUUUGAUUUAACUUGAAAAUCAAUCAGACAUGUGGUUCACUUUUCACAUUCUUUCUUGAUCAAAACAUCUUGUGAACUCCUUUUCUUGAUAAAAAUAUGACGUCAUUUCUUUUUGUUUAAUUCUAUAUUUGUUAAAGUGAACGUGGACGUUAUUCAUAUGUUUUAGUUAUUGAACAGAUUGUUUCUCUAGAACUGUCUAUUUGGAUAAUUUUCUACUUCUAUGGCUUACGUGUAAGUUAUUUUAGUAAGGACAUUUUCAAAACAAUUCAGUUCCCAUAAAGAAGGGAUAACUUUGGAGUUCCAAAUGAAUUCUAUGAAGGCUAUAAUGCAAGAACUUAAGGCUGAUUGGUCUUUUAGUACUCUUGACUAUGACACUUAGUAAUGUUUCUGUCACCAUGCAUUCCGAAUGCCAACAGAUAAACUCAUCGUGGAUCACAUCUGAGAAUCUCAAGCUAAAUGAUAUUGUUUCAUGGCAUUCAUCAACAAAUCCUUGCAGGAACUCUCGACAUCUACUUCAAGAUCAUUAGGUAAUCAAGUAGUUUCACAACUUCAUGUUUGACUUGACAUUCAAGAUUCCAAGUACCCAUACUCUUCAAAGAUGUAAGCUUACUUAAGGUUCUUUUUCUUCUCUAAAGUAAAGCUAGGAAUUCUUUGAUUUUGGUACACACACCUUCUUAUAGGGACUAUAGAAAAAUCUGGAUUCAUUGAUGUUUGCGGAAGAGUUAGCUAGAUCCAAAAGAUGUAAAUGAUAGUUUGUGAAAACAGAACUCCUAAUUGCUUUUUUGAACACCAACCUUUAGUUUACAUCAACAUUUAGGUGGCAGGUAGUUUCAAAUUGUGCUAGAUGUGAUGUAUAUCCCUUUUCUUAUGGUUUGUUCUUGUGUUUGUAAACUACUAAAUCAUCCAUUGCACAAAAAUGAAAUUUGAACAGGUUGGUUCUUAAUAACUUUAAGAUGUGCAGAGCCUAUUGUUUUCUGCAAAAUUUAGAUUAUAUCAACCUUAUGUUGGGUCAACCAGCUUUGAGCAACUUUGUAGUUCAACAGAAUGCAGAUAAUGGGUCAAUCUUGCAACAAGAAGGGCGGUGAAAAAGAUACUGUAUCUGGUACUGGUACUCUGGAUUGGUUGUCGGAAGGGCACUGAGCUUAUGUUAAUUUUGCACAUACCGUAAAGAAGGAAUAAUAUUGUACCCAUUUUGUAUUAAAACGUCUUUUGAUUAUGGUUAUUUAGUUUUGAUUUCAAUAUGAAGCAUAGUGUUUACUGUCAAGAAAAAAAAUAACAUGUUGGUCCCGUGCGCAAUGUCAUCCCUCUAGUGUGUGUGUGUGUGUGUGUGUGUUGGAAGGACGAACAUGUGCAAUAUGUGGCUGUACAAGAAGCAACCAGAGUUGUAUUUCCGUAAUUGUGAUUUUUUACAGAGUUGAAGUGGUAAUUUGGUCCUCAUUCCUACACAUGCGUCUUUAUAUGCACGUGUACUGCUUUUCCUAUUUUGUCCCACUCACUAAAAUGUUCUUUACCCUAACAAAACUUAUCUUCUACUCUUCUCUCUUCCAUGAACCAGAUUUUCAGAACUUCCAUGGCAGUAUAUCUGGCCCUCAAUGUGUGUGUGUGUGUGAGAACAUGUGCAAUAUGUGGCUGUACAAGAAGCAACCAGAGUUGUAUUUCCGUAAUUGUGAUUUUUUACAGAGUUAAAGUGGUAAUUUGGUCCUCAUUCCUACACAGAGUGUUCCAAAAAACAUGUGUACUGCGUCUUUAUAUGCACGUGUACUGCUUUUCCUAUUUUGUCCCACUCACUAAAAUGUUCUUUACCCUAACAAAACUUAUCUUCUACUCUUCUCUCUUCCAUGAACCAGAUUUUCAGAACUUCCAUGGCAGUAUAUCUGGCCCUCAAUGCAUGACCAAAAUUUCACUUACAAGUUUCACUCACUGCAUCACCUUUUGUUCCUGUCAAGCUCUUUCAUUUAUUCGGAGGUACGAUGUGGCUUUAUACUAAAUGUUUGCAAAGAAAUGGAUAGGAAAAACGUUGAAUAUGUCAAGAACUCUUGUCUUUAUGUUGCCUCUGGUUUUUUUGGUGGAUAUGAUACCCUCACCAGCCAUCAAAUAUAAGAAUCGUAGUUGUGCUUCCGAUCGAAUUCGUGAAAAGAAAGUGCGGUCGUGCGCCUGAUCAGUAGCAACAUGACAAACAUUCUUCAAUUGUUCGAGAUAACCUUCAUGCAUACAAAAGAGGGACAGUCAGCCUCAUCGUUAUCUUAGAGAAUCAUCCAAGUUCGAAUAAAUUGGCAAAGCUAUCACUGAGGAUAAAAAUGAACCACAAAAUAAGUGUAGUUUUUAUAUUUGUAAGAGGACUUUUGCACGGGAGUACACCAGUUAAGAAGUACUAAGCCAAGCCCCAAAAAGGUGUUUGUGUCCUGUGCUUGUGUGGGUCUGCUCUAGUGGGGCUCGUGGGAACCAUAAACUAGGGGUACUUAUCGGGCAGAUUGGGUGGAUUAUUACGCUUAAUAGUUCGGCUUAUCGGUUAUCGGUUUAUAAAUAUAGUAAUUCACUAGCCAUCCAAUAAGACUACAGGCGGAUUGGUAUCGAAUUAACGGUUAUCGGAUGGUUUAUCGGUUAAAUAAAAAGAAUAUUUUUGAACCCUAGUUCUUUUGGUUGCAUAGCUAAAAAUAUUUUCCUUUAAGUUGUUAAUCUGCUAUAUUAAAAAGCACUAUAAGAAAGUGCCUUUUAUCCCUUACUCUUUAGGACUACCAUACAAUCAAAGAAUAUGUAUACCAACAAGAGUGCAUGGUCAACACACACCUAAAGCGCCUACGUUCCGUUUGCAGCCAAUACAACCACAACCUAACUUGCACGAGAUUCAACAACUGAAGCUACUGGUAGUCCCGAGGGGGCGACAUCCUCCUAUAAUAGUUAGCAGUACUGAACAAGCGAGUCAUCGGUCCGAGGAAAGAAAAGGACCGCCUUUGAAAAAAAAAAAAGNGAACUCGCUAGGCCUUUAGAACAAAGGCGAUUCUGUUCUUGUUUUGACUUUUGCUCUGACUUCUUCUCAUCUAAGCAUUUGCUUCGGCCAUGUUAGGAAAGCUCCGCAAUUUCAAUAUCCCUUCCUCAUCCCGUAAGUCUGACUGAGGAAAGCAAGCGUAACUCCAAACCUCGCCCCGCCCUUUAUAGUCGCGAUUGUUGUCAUGGAAAAAGAGUUUGUUUUCUGACAAAGAGCAUGCUUAACACAGCCUAUAUCAUAAAGGUAUUCGAGCCGCUGUUUUAUCCCUUCGACGAAUUUCGGCUUUGACCAAUGCCCACUAGCUAAAUAGGCGUAAGAAAAAGCUACCUGAAAAAAAGCAAGGUGCACCUUGAAUUGAACUCGACGAAUUGCGUUUUGCCAGAGAGAUUUUUUUAGAAAGAUUCUUCAUUGGUAAUUCAAAAAUAGAAAGAAUAUAAAUAAAGGCUAUGCUUUGCAUGAACAUCUCAAUGUCCAAGAUAAAAAGAACGAGGGGAAGAAUCGACGAGGCGAGUGUUCUCGAAGAGAAAAUCGUGAUGGGAAAAGCGUGAGGAGAAUUCUAAACUCGAAUAAAGAAAGAGAUGCACGUAACUUCUUAACAUACAACAUUUGAGUACAUGUUUUUCAGUAUACCGUAAACAUAACAUGUUUUCACUGCAAAAGAAAGGGUAAACAAUAGUUGGGAAUUCCACAAAAGAGUACUUUGAAGUUUCCAAGAGUACCUUAGUGUUUCAAAAAUUACUUUAUAUAUAUAGGGGUAAAAGUAUAAAUAUAAAUUUUUUUAACGGGUUUACGAUUUAUCCGAUAAGGAAAUUGAGUAAUCCGCCCCAAACCGUUAAGCCGUUAAUUAUAAAAUCUUAAUCUGUUCACCAACCGUUAUCCCGAUAAACCGAUACCAGUAAGCCAAUAAGCCGUUUUUUCGGUUUAGUUAACGAUUACGAUUCGGUGUUUGAAUAACCCUACCAUAAACCAUGAAUUGCAACAAACUCCUAAAAAAUUGUAAACAUCUCACAAAACACAUACAAGAGAUAAAGAAGAGAAACAUAACACACUACAACACCAUAACAUACCUAGUGUAAACCUACAACGCACAACUAGCAAAAUCGCCAAAUCCCAGAACCAAAAUGACUUGGAACAAAAGAACAAGAUGACCCAACAUCCAAAGACACUUAUGUUCCGAAAUUAACCUAAACCAACCAAGAAAAAGCAAUACUUGGACCCCUUUGAAAUCAUAAGCUUGUGGAAGAACCAAGAAGCAAGAACACAGAGGAAUAGAACACGAGAAAGAGAACGAGCAGAAAUGGCACGUACCCAUUACAAAGCGGCAUUGACAAAAGCCCAUCAUAAUUUUUGAAGAUUUGUGAAUUGGUUUAGCAAGAAUUUCUGAUUCAGGGAGCUUAAUAGAGGGCCUCCGACCAACCAUAUGGAAAGUACUAGUAGUAUUUAAUUUAUUUUGUGUCUAAAUACAAGUUGCACAUAAAUUUGUGAGCCUGUCGGAAUUGAAAUUGGAUGUAAUUGAACUGAAUUGAAAUUGUAUGUAAUUAUACUGUUUGACA